AUUGAACGCUGGCGGCAUGCCUUACACAUGCAAGUCGAACGGUAACAGGUUAAGCUGACGAGUGGCGAACGGGUGAGUAAUGUAUCGGAACGUGCCCAGUCGUGGGGGAUAACUGCUCGAAAGAUCAGCUAAUACCGCAUACGACCUGAGGGUGAAAGCGGGGGAUCGCAAGACCUCGCGCGAUUGGAGCGGCCGAUAUCAGAUUAGGUAGUUGGUGAGGUAAAGGCUCACCAAGCCGACGAUCUGUAGCUGGCCUGAGAGGACGACCAGCCACACUGGGACUGAGACACGGCCCAGACUCCUACGGGAGGCAGCAGUGGGGAAUUUUGGACAAUGGGCGCAAGCCUGAUCCAGCCAUGCCGCGUGCGGGAAGAAGGCCUUCGGGUUGUAAACCGCUUUUGUCAGGGAAGAAAAGGUUCUGGCUAAUACCUGGGACUCAUGACGGUACCUGAAGAAUAAGCACCGGCUAACUACGUG
rnacentral:rRNA from 1 species